AUAAUCCGCGUUGGACCUUACUUAAUUUGUUUUGUUUGUAUACCGCCGUUUUAAUGAAGAUCUUUGUAGUGUUUUAAUUUUCUGAUUUCAUUAUUUUGUUUUAUUUCAGGUCAAGGUGCAGUUUAUUGUUAAGUGUGAAGUGGAUUACAUUGUGUUGUUGAAAUUUUGGAUUGCUUAUUGUAACUCUUGGUAUGAAAGUGGAUUUGAUUGUAAUUUAUUGAAGAUUGUUUUAAUGAUGUUGGUUCUGGAGUAUGCACACAUCGCCCGUCGCUCUCAUUUUUGUUGAGAUAAGUCGUAACAUAGUGGUUGUACCGGAAGGUGUGGCUGGAUUGAU
rnacentral:rRNA from 1 species